GGUGUUGUAGCUCAGUGGUAGAGUGCGUGCUUAGCAUGCAUGAGGUCCUGGGUUCCCUCCCUUGCACCA
rnacentral:tRNA from 1 species